rnacentral:rRNA from 1 species
AACGAACGCUGGCGGCGCGUUUUAAGCAUGCAAGUCGAACGGUAACAGGCCUUCGGGCGCUGACGAGUGGCGGACGGGUGAGUAACGCGUAGGAAUCUGCCUCAUAGUGGGGGGACAACGUGGGGAAACUCACGCUAAUACCGCAUACGCCCUACGGGGGAAAGCGGGGGAUCUUCGGACCUCGCGCUAUGAGAUGAGCCUGCGUUAGAUUAGCUAGUUGGUAGGGUAAAGGCCUACCAAGGCGACGAUCUAUAGCUGGUCUGAGAGGACGAUCAGCCACACUGGGACUGAGACACGGCCCAGACUCCUACGGGAGGCAG